AGCCAGUUGGCGUAAGGGUUUGAAUGUUGGACCAUGACUCUGGAGUCCAGGGUUCAAUUCCCAGCUUGGCUA